CAUGAUCGGACCUGAAUAGUCACGUGACAGGUACAAUUGGAAGACAGUGGGGACUCGGCCGGUGCAACGGUGAAGGUGGACUUAUUGAGACACGUCUCAAUCAAAGGUCCUCCCCCGUUUCUUCCAUUUCAGCAGUGACUGGCCGCACACAACUGAGUCCGGUUCUGCUAGAAAUGUCCUCCUGUCACAAGGGAGUUUGUUUUUUCUUCACAGUCGCCAAUGACCUGCAGUGCCCUGACUACACGUGGAUAACGGAGGAAGGAACGAGAAGCUGGAACAGACGUACGACUGAACUUCGUCUUCUUUACCCCCUUUAAUUUGUACCAACAACACUUUUCCUCCAGGGAGCCCUCCGGUGAAUUUACAGCGGCAUUCCCCUUUUAGUCAAGGCAAGUGUCGGAAUCUAUGGGACUUAAUAGAAAUCAAGUUUUAUCAAACAAUCAAGCAGGAUGAGAACAUGAAAGCA